rnacentral:lncRNA from 1 species
GAAAAACUAUUUAUGAGUGGCGCAUAUACAAUAAAAAUUCAAAAUUAAACGUUAAUCAUUUUUUUUUAUCGUUAAAAUUAAAGGUUAAUCUUAUCCCAACCAUCCCCAUUCACGCCUAUAAAAUCCCAAUCACCAUUCCUCAGUUUUCCACACUGUCUAAUUUCGUUUUCUUUCAACUCUAAAAAAGUUUGAAAAAUGGGGUCACGAAACGAAGUCGAGCGGUUGCCAGCACCAUAUGGUAACCAAUAUGAAGCUCCGCCGGCGCCUGAUGUGGAGGAGAAGAAGAACAAAUUUGGUCGGAUGGGGACAGGAAUGGCUGCCGGCGCGGUAGCAGGGGUGGUAGGUGGAAUUGCAUCGAAUUGGAAAAAAAUACGGCAAUGGAUAAAAGAAAGAAAAGAAAAGAAAAGAAGACGAUGAAAAAGAUACAUGCGAAGAAGACUUGGAACACUUAAAAUUUGUUGUUCAUAUUUGCCUCCUCUGCUUUUAAGGGAUUAAAUGGUAAGUAGUUUGUAGGACGUGUCAAGCCAAAGUAAUUCCCCAAUUGUUGGAUGAAUAAUAGAAUGAUUUUUUCAUAUAUUUAGCUCAUGUUUGAACCACAUUUUAGGAAAAAUAUAUUAUUCAUGUCAAAUUAAUGAAAAAUGUGUGAUUAAAAAAUAAGAAAAUUUUUUAGAUUUGUUUAUAAUAUUAUUUUAUUAAAAAUGUGUAGUUGAGAUGAUAUCAAAU